GGCAACUUGGCCGAGUGGUCUAAGGCGAUGCACUCAAGGAAAACUAUCCUUACCCUUCAAACGGGAAGUAUUGCAUUCUCGCAAGAGGCGUGAGUUCGAAUCUCACAGUUGUCA
rnacentral:tRNA from 1 species